UUUUAUACACUAUGAAAUUUAUAUCAUAUGAAUAUUAAACAUAAUAUAUUAUAAUGUAAAUAUUAAAAAAAUAUUUAAGUAGUUUAUGCUUAAAAUUUUAAUAAAAGAAAAAAAAUAAAAUUAGUAAGCAUUAAAUAAAAAUAAAAAUUUAAAAAUAAUAUGAACAAACUUAAAUAGGCUUGAAUUUAACUAUUUAAAACUGUAGAUGGGCACGUCAAAAUUUGAAGUUCAUAUAUUAAGCUGGACC
rnacentral:lncRNA from 1 species